rnacentral:rRNA from 1 species
GGGCUGCAGUAUUUUGACUGUACAAAGGUAGCAUAAUCAUUAGUCUCUUAAUUGGUGACUUGUAUGAAAGAUUGGAUGAAAUAUAUACUGUCUCUAAUUAAUUUGUAAAAUUUAAUUUUUUAGUAAAAAAGCUAAAAUAAUUUUAAAAGACGAGAAGACCCUAUAGAGUUUAAUAAUUUAUUUUAUUACUAUUGUUAUUUAAAAUUUUAAAUUGAAAUAGAAUAAAUUAUUUUGUUGGGGUGACAAAAAAAUUAAAUUAACUUUUUUUUAUAAUAAACAUUAAUUUAUGAAUAUAUGAUCCAUUAAUAUUGAUUAGAAGAAAAAAUUACCUUAGGGAUAACAGCGUAAUUUUUUUUUUUAGUUCAAAUAGGAAAAAAAGUUUGCGACC